rnacentral:rRNA from 1 species
CGGAGGUAGUCGGGAGACAGGUGGUGCAUGGUUGUCGUCAGCUCGUGUCGUGAGAUGUUGGGUUAAGUCCCGCAACGAGCGCAACCCCUAUUGCUAGUUACCAUCAUUAAGUUGGGGACUCUAGCGAGACUGCCAGUGAUAAACUGGAGGAAGGUGGGGAUGACGUCAAAUCAUCAUGCCCCUUAUGACCUGGGCUACAAACGUGAUACAAUGGCUGGAACAAAGGGAUGCGAAGCAGUGAUGUGGAGCGAAACCCAUAAAAACAGUCUCAGUUCGGAUUGAAGUCUGCAACUCGACUUCAUGAAGUCGGAAUCGCUAGUAAUCGCGGAUCAGAACGCCACGGUGAAUACGUUCUCGGGGUUU